rnacentral:rRNA from 1 species
AUUGAACGCUAGCGGGAUGCUUUACACAUGCAAGUCGAACGGAGAGGCGGACGGGUGAGUAAUAUAUCGAAACGUGCCCAGUCUCGGGGGCUAACUGCGCGAAAAAUUGGCUACUACCGCAUAAUGUGCGAGCGGCCGAUAUCGGAUUAGCUAGUUGGUGUGGGAAAGGCUCACCAAGGCAACGAUCCGCAGCAGGUUUGAGAGGACGACCAGCCCAACUGGGACUGAGACACGGCCCAGACGCCGACGUGAGGCAGCAGUGGGGAAUUUUGGACAAUGGGGGAAACCCUGAUCCAGCCAUCCCGCGUGUAUGAUGAAGGCCUUCGGGUUGUAAAGUACUUUUGGCAGAGAAGCGGGAUCUGCAGAAAAGCACCGGCUAACUCCGUGCCAGCAGCCGCGGUAAUUC